rnacentral:rRNA from 1 species
UCCUACGGGAGGCAGCAGUGGGGAAUAUUGGACAAUGGGGGCAACCCUGAUCCAGCAAUUCCGCGUGUGUGAAGAAGGCCUGCGGGUUGUAAAGCACUUUCAGUAGCCAAGAUGGGAUUAUUCAUUAAUACUGGAUAGUCUUGACAUUAACUACAGAAGAAGCACCGGCUAACUCCGUGCCAGCAGCCGCGGUAAU